rnacentral:rRNA from 1 species
AUUGAACGCUGGCGGCAGGCCUAACACAUGCAAGUCGAACGAGUGGCGGACGGGGGAGUAAUGUCUGGGAAACUGCCUGAUGGAGGGGGAUAACUACUGGAAACGGUAGCUAAUACCGCAUACCAUCAGAUGUGCCCAGAUGGGAUUAGCUAGUGGGGGGGGUAACGGCUCACCAAGGCGACGAUCCCUAGCUGGGCUGAGAGGAUGACCCGCCACACUGGAACGGGGACACGGUCCGUACUCCUACGGGAGGCAGCCGUGGGGAAUAUUGGACAAGUGGCGCAAGCCUGAUGCAGCCCUGCCGCGUGUAUGAAGAAGGCCUUCGGGUUGUAAAGUACUUUCAGCGGGGAGGCGUUACCCGCAGAAGAAGCACCGGCUAACUCCGUGCCAGCAGCCGCGGUAAUAC